rnacentral:lncRNA from 1 species
AUUUUCGAUAUCAAAAUUUGAAAUUUUGAUACUUUCAAAUUUCAAAGUUUUAAUUUCCAAAUUUUAUAUUCCAAAUUUUAAAUUACAAAUUUUAAAUUUUAAUUUAUAAUAUUUAUUUUAAAUUUUAAACUUCAAAAUUUAAAAUUUGAAAUCCCUAAACUCUUUUUAUUUAAAUAAAAUUAACUAUUAAAUUAUUUUUAUAUAACUUUAUUUAAUUAAUAAUUAGACAUAAAAUUAUAUAAAAAAUAAAAAACUAAAGGUUAUUAUAAAAAUAUUUUUAUAUCCGCAGCAUCGCUAUUAAAUUAUUUUCAUAUAACUUUAUUUAAUUAAUAAUUAGACUUAUAAAAUUAUAUAAAAAAUAAAAAACUAAAAAUUAUUAUAAAAAUAUUUUUAUAUCCGCAGCAUCGCGCGGGUAUUUCACUAGUAUAAUACUGAAGCUGAACAUGAACAACCACUGCCACAAAU